rnacentral:rRNA from 1 species
UACGAAGGGGGCUAGCGUUGUUCGGAGUUACUGGGCGUAAAGGGCGCGUAGGCGGCCCUCCAAGUCGGGUGUGAAAGCCCACGGCUCAACCGUGGAAUUGCACUCGAGACUGAAGGGCUCGAGGACGGGAGAGGAUGGUGGAAUUCCCAGUGUAGAGGUGAAAUUCGUAGAUAUUGGGAAGAACACCGGUGGCGAAGGCGACUUACUGGACACAUAUUGACGCUGAGGUGCGAAAGCGUGGGGAGCAAACAGG